UUGUUAGUCGUUAGUCAAACUCGGCAAGACAUCACAUCUUGUGCCUACGUAUCUCAUCUGAACAUGAGAAUCAGAGUUGCCGUAGUUCGGCUACACGCACGCCGAAACAAACACACGCACAUACGCUGAGACGUCAAAACAAACACACAGACAGGCAAACGUGGAAUCCGAACGCCAAUCGCUGGACUUACAUCAGAUUCCGAACCAAACAAAACCACACUGGAAACCAGAUGCCACUUGAUGGACUUAUACC
rnacentral:lncRNA from 1 species